rnacentral:rRNA from 1 species
GACGAACGCUGGCGGCGUGCUUAACACAUGCAAGUCGAACGAAGAGCGAUGGAAGCUUGCUUCUGUCAAUCUUAGUGGCGAGCGGGUGAGUAACGCGUAAUCAACCUGCCCUUCAGAGGGGGACAACAGUUGGAAACGACUGCUAAUACCGCAUACGAUCUAAUCUCGGCAUCGUGGAUAGAUGAAAGGUGGCCUCUACAUGUAAGCUAUCACUGAAGGAGGGGAUUGCGUCUGAUUAGCUAGUUGGAGGGGUAACGGCGCACCAAGGCGAUGAUCAGUAGCCGGUCUGCGAGGAUGAACGGCCACAUUGGGACUGAGACACGGCCCAGACUGAUACGGGAGGCAGCAGUGGGGAAUCUUCCGCAAUGGACGAAAGUCUGACGGAGCAACGCCGCGUGAGUGAUGACGGCCUUCGGGUUGUAAAGCUCUGUUAAUCGGGACGAAAGGCCUUCUUGCGAAUAGUGAGAAGGAUUGACGGUACCGGAAUAGAAAGCCACGGCUAACUACGUG